AAAGUAUGAUAUUAUAUUUAUUUUUAACUACGGGGAUUUUUGAGCAGGCGCGCGCGAGGACAGCUACGUACGGACCGGGGUCCUUCAACCGGCAAAAGCUCAUGUCGGUGUGCUAAUGUUUACAUGUUGGAAUGUAAAGUUAUCGAGUGAUUGAGAGAUAAACCGUGCUGUCUAAAAUAAGAAAAGUGAAGUCUGAAAAUCAAAUCGUGUCUUCCGGGAUGAGCGGACCGAAGCUUUCGCUUCUAUUUGCCAGCAGUGAGUUCUACAAGGCCGGUGAUGAUUCUAGCAGCAUGGAGGCUGCUGCUUUUGGUAAAAGCAUCGACAUCAAGCGGCGCUAUGAGACAAAACACGAAACUUUGGAAACAACUUACCCGCCAGAAUACACGAACUGAAAGGACAAUCCAGACGUACAACACAGACGCUAACAGCACAACAACGAGCUCACCAGAGCUCACUACGAGUGGAAUAGUUUUGGAGCAAGCACAAAAGUGACUGAAAUGAUUCAAAGAGUGGAUGGAGGCGAUGGCAGAAACUUCAUUGGAGGGAAAAGUGCUUCAAGAAAAGGCCCGACAGCUUCCCCGUGUGGUGCUGAGGAUGCUGGGAAGAUGCCAGUCAAACCACCGAGCAGACUUUCCUAACUCGUGGCUCGAGACAUCUGGACAACCCCUUGGCUUCAGCGGUGAACUUUAUUGUGCCAGGACGUCCUUUCAUGUUUUUUUGUUUGGAGUGUAACUUACAAUGGGGGUCAGAAUUUGUAUAGCAGCCUGUGCCCCGGACACACAUGAGACGCAUGCAGGAAGUCAGCAGGAAGCAGGACAGCAUGGAGGGGAAGAGCACAGAAGAAUAGACAGACCAAGAAGGAGCAGCACAGUCUGACAUCAGCUUUUUAAGAGCAGCCUGCACAUAUGAUCAGCACUCAAUACGAUCAGCGCCUUCAGGUUCUGUCUUCAUUCUUUAUAUAUUUUAAUGCCACUAUCACCCCUGUGUUUACUCUACAGUUUGUCUUUCAGAUAAUUCUCCUUCAGAGCAUUACAGUCCAUCCCUUCCUCUCUCCGUUCAAAGUGGAAAGGCGUUUGAAUGGCCCGCCAUAUGAAACCUGCUCUGCCAAUGAUGUAUUUAGCCACAAUUCAGGUUUUUGUCACUUUUCAAAACUCCUUUACUAAAGAGAUUUCUGUACUUUGUGGGACUUUGUGAUAAAAUAAAAGUAAUUGUAACACUU